rnacentral:rRNA from 1 species
GUACACUCCUACGGGAGGCAGCAGUGGGGAAUAUUGCACAAUGGGCGCAAGCCUGAUGCAGCCAUGCCGCGUGUAUGAAGAAGGCCUUCGGGUUGUAAAGUACUUUCAGCGGGGAGGAAGGCGAUAAGGUUAAUAACCUUGUUGAUUGACGUUACCCGCAGAAGAAGCACCGGCUAACUCCGUGCCAGCAGCCGCGGUAAUACGGAGGGUGCAAGCGUUAAUCGGAAUUACUGGGCGUAAAGCGCACGCAGGCGGUCUGUCAAGUCGGAUGUGAAAUCCCCGGGCUCAACCUGGGAACUGCAUUCGAAACUGGCAGGCUAGAGUCUUGUAGAGGGGGGUAGAAUUCCAGGUGUAGCGGUGAAAUGCGUAGAGAUCUGGAGGAAUACCGGUGGCGAAGGCGGCCCCCUGGACAAAGACUGACGCUCAGGUGCGAAAGCGUGGGGAGCAAACAGGAUUAGAUACCCCGGUAGUCCCAUGAU